rnacentral:rRNA from 1 species
AUUGAACGCUGGCGGCAUGCCUAACACAUGCAAGUCGAACGGCAGCACAGCAGUAGCAAUACUGUGGGUGGCGAGUGGCGGACGGGUGAGGAAUACGUCGGAAUCUGCCCAGUCGUGGGGGAUAACUAGCCGAAAGGUUAGCUAAUACCGCAUACGACCGAGAGGUGAAAGCGGGGGACCGCAAGGCCUCGCGCGAUUGGAUGAGCCGACGUCGGAUUAGCUAGUUGGCGGGGUAAAGGCCCACCAAGGCGACGAUCCGUAGCUGGUCUGAGAGGAUGAUCAGCCACACUGGAACUGAGACACGGUCCAGACUCCUACGGGAGGCAGCAGUGGGGAAUUUUGGACAAUGGGGGCAACCCUGAUCCAGCCAUGCCGCGUGAGUGAAGAAGGCCUCGGUUGUAAGCUCUUCGCCGGGAAGAAUACGUAUGGGUUAUACCUGUGCGGAGUGACGGUACCGGCGAUAAGAAGACACCGGCUAACUACGUGCCAGCAGCCG